ACGUGACCGUACUUACAGAUAGCAUGCUACUACGACCCGCGGCACGGUAAUACGUAGGGGACUAGCGUUUCGGAAUAUGGGCGUAAAGCGCGCGCACGUGGUUUCUUAAGUCUGAUGUGAAACCACGGCUCAACCGGGAGGGUCAUUGGAAACUGGGAGACUUGAGUGCAGAAGGGAAAGUGGAAUUUCCAUGUGUAGCGGUGAAAUGCGUAGAGAUAUGGAGGAACACCAGUGGCGAAGGCGACUUUCUGGUCUGUAACUGACACUGAGGCGCGAAAGCGUGGGGAGCAAACCAGGAUUAGAUACCCUGGUAUCCACGCCGUAAACGAUGAGUGCUAAGUGUUAGAGGGUUUCCGCCCUUUAGUGCUGAAGUUAACGCAUUAAGCACUCCGCCCUGGGGAGUACGGCCGCAAGGCUGAAACUCAAAGGAAUUGAACGGGGGCCCGCACAAGCGGUGGAGCAUGUGGUUUAAUUCGAAGCAACGCGAAGAACCUUACCAGGUCUUUGACAUCCUUGAAAACCCUAGAGAUAGGGUUCUCCUUCGGGAGCAGAGUGACAGGUGGUGCAUGGUGUCGUCAGCUCGUGUCGUGAGAUGUUGGGUUAAGUCCCGCAACGAGCGCAACCCUUAUCUUAGUUGCAUCAUAAGUUGGGCACUCUAAGGUGACUGCCGUGACAAACCGGAGGAAGGUGGGGAUGACGUCAAAUCAUCAUGCCCCUUAUGACCUGGGCUACACACGUGCUACAAUGGACGGUACAAAGAGCUAGCAAGACUGCGAGGUGGAGUCUAAUCUCAUAAACACCGAAUUCUCAGUUCGGAUUGUAGAGCUGCAACUGCGCGUACAUGAAGAUGUAAUCCGGUAGUAGUCGCGGAUCAGCAUGCCGCG
rnacentral:rRNA from 1 species